UAUGGAUUCCGAUUCUAUCAAAGUCGACCUAGAAAAUGAUAGCUCUAUGAAUUUGGAAGAUGAUGAAGUUGGCUCUAUGGAGGUAGAUGAUAAAAAUCAUAGUGGUGUUAGAAAACCCAAGGCAAAGAGAUCUCGAAAGGAAAGAUCAGUUGUUUGGCAUUACUUUACCAAACAACAAAACAAAACUUUAGGCGGAAAGGUUCCAUCAAAGUGCAACAAAUGUGGUCAUGUUCUCAUGUUUGAUAGUAAGCAAGAAGAGAUGAUCCAACACGUGCUUCAAAUGCAAGUAAAGAGGUUGAGGACACAAUGGAUGAUUCUACACAUGCCUAUGGAAUGAGCGCAAGGCUUAAGGAUUUUGAUCAAUUUCAAAGUAAAGAUUUUACAAUUAACAAAAAAUCA